ACGAACGCUGGCGGCGUGCUUAACACAUGCAAGUCGAACGGAAAGGCCCUGCUUUUGUGGGGUGCUCGAGUGGCGAACGGGUGAGUAACACGUGAGUAACCUGCCCUUGACUUUGGGAUAACUUCAGGAAACUGGGGCUAAUACCGGAUAGGAGCUCCUGCUGCAUGGUGGGGGUUGGAAAGUUUCGGCGGUUGGGGAUGGACUCGCGGCUUAUCAGCUUGUUGGUGGGGUAGUGGCUUACCAAGGCUUUGACGGGUAGCCGGCCUGAGAGGGUGACCGGCCACAUUGGGACUGAGAUACGGCCCAGACUCCUACGGGAGGCAGCAGUGGGGAAUAUUGCACAAUGGGCGGAAGCCUGAUGCAGCGACGCCGCGUGCGGGAUGACGGCCUUCGGGUUGUAAACCGCUUUCGCCUGUGACGAAGCGUGAGUGACGGUAAUGGGUAAAGAAGCACCGGCUAACUACGUG
rnacentral:rRNA from 1 species